UAGGGAAAGAAAUACAAAACUGCCAGCAACACACAGCACCUGUGGGGUGGGAUACUACUGGCUGACUGCUGAGCCUUGUAGAUCCUUCCUGCAGGCCUGUGUGCUUGCUUCAAAUGAAACCGAGCACCAGACGGAGUGUUUUGAUGUCAUUCCUUUGGAAGAAGGCUGAAGAAAGGCAGCAUGGUUUUCUGUGGCAUUGAGGCGGCUGUUCAAAUGGUGUGCUGGCUUGUAGCCCGAUCUGAUGUCUGUGCAGAGCCCUGAGCGUCAGCAUAGCAGAGCUGAGAGCGGUUGUGCCUCGAUGGGUUAUCUCAGAAGUUCAGUACCAGCUGCAGGGAGGCGAAGUUGUCUCCUCUUGGCAAGUCAGGAAGUCUCAUCUAUUUGCAUUCUGCGGCUCUCUUCCAUCAGGGUGUCGUUCAUUACUGAGACCGUUCUGCCAGCAGCUAUGCGGUGCCUGAGGAUGCCAGCGCAAGAAGGAAAGUGACAUUUUGAGAAGGAUGUCAUUUCUUCUUCAACACUGCAAAACAUCCACCCAUCUGUCACAAAUGCUUGUCUUCUUUCCCGGCGCUCCAGCAUCUCCAUAUCACUCAUUCACAGCAUACAGCUCAGCACAAGGGAAUUUAUCAAAUUAGUGUUAUCAAUCAUAUGCCAGUUCACAUUACUUACAAGUGCCAGAACCACCUUCUUUUUGCCCCUCACCAUCAGAUUUGGGCUUUUAUUUUAAGCUUAGGGAGAAGAGCUGGAGAAAACAAGCGGAGAGGCAGUACUAAGUGUCUCUGGAAGACCAAGCUGGCUCGCAGACAAAUUGGAUGCCUGUAUCCUGAAGGAAAUCUGUUGUCUGAUGGCAGCAUCAAAGGUGGAACUCUUAAAGCCACACACAGUCGACUGUGCCCCAAAUCCUUCUUCUGCUCCUUUGUGUUUGAAACUGGUAGCUUUUUUUCUUUGUAUCGUAGGAGAUGAUCAUUCCUUAUAGGAGAAGAGGCACUGUGACCCACCUAAGUAGCUUUCAUGUUAAUACCAAGGCAAAUAAUCUUCAUGCUGUUGAUUUAGAAAUCAUGGGCAGCUCCAAGUCCCCAGUAAACAUGAGCUGUGGUUUUACUUAACAUGUUGGGGGCUGAUCUAUG